CUUAUGGCAGGAAAGAAAGGUAUCCCAAAAUGGCUGAUAAUCUGGCACAUAACAAAUUCCUGUACUUCCAGGUUGUGCUUCCUGCCUUACAGAACAGGCCUGGGCUACUGACCUUGCUCUAACUAAGCCUCUUCCCUGAUUAAAAGAUGGCAGCAGAAGGGCAGUCUGACAUAACAGUGUCUGACACCAAAGUGUGGGUGAAGCAGAGAUGUCACUGAAUUCCUCCAUGUUGAAUGUUUAUGGAGACCAAUCAGAGGAUUUUAGCACAAUGAAGUGGAAAAAAAGUCAAAUCACAACAAAGACGGAGUGGAAAUCAGUGUGGUUCUGUGUAAUUCAAGAGACAGGGCCACAGACAGGAAGAGAGAGUGAUGUAGCAGAAGAAAAAUGAAGAUGGCUGCAAAUAUAUUUCCAGAGGAAAUGAAGUUCCUUUGGCUGGAAUUCAGCAGCUCCCUUUGUCAUCGUUGACCAUGAAUGGAUGAACUUCAUGUAGAUGAUGCCCAUUUCCCAUCUUUGAAUCAAACAUUAAUACCAUUUGACAGUAAUAAAUAACAUUUAUCACAAUAGGGAUCUACUAAUGAUUUUCCCACUAAGCUGGCUCAUCAGAACCUAUCAGCUGACAACUGCAUAAAUGAGAUUAGCAUAACAGCUGCCUAUGACAAAUGUAUCUAAAUCAUUUUAAUGCCAGCUAGCUCUUUGAUCUCCCUAUCACGUUGUUGCCAAAACUAAAUCCAUUUCUUCAAGAUACAUGUUGUUUAUUACAGAUACAUGUGUAUAUUCCACACCAUUAUGUACUCCAGAGAUUUCAGUAAUUAAAAGAAUUAAAAAUACUGAUUGGAUACUGCCACUAUAAUGUAAACUUGCAACUCUGCACUUCAGAACAGCAUUCCACUGCCUACUUAGUCCCCUCCUCCUUCUCCAGAUUGCAGAAUUCAGUGUUUAAUAGCUGCAUGUUUCUCUGACACAAAAUACAUGUUUUAACGUAAAUACAUGUAUUAACUUCUCUUUCUGAGUAUCCCUUACAGCGGCAUCAUUUUCAUACAAUUUAGACUAAUUCCCAGUAAUAUAGGAGUUGGCUCCAGGCAAAUAUUGAAGCAACGAGUCAUUGCGUGUGUUUGUAUGAAUGCAAGACUGACAAAGAAAAUCUCACUGGUAGUGCAGCAUUCAUGUUGUGACUGUUAUUAAAGGGUUGCCUAUGAGAUUGUCAUACAAUCUCAUGACAACAGACUUCAGACAGACCAAUGACAAUAGCACUUCCAUAACCACACUUCUAAAAG
ensembl:lncRNA